rnacentral:lncRNA from 1 species
AUUUUCUUUCUUUUCCACCAAUCAGAUCACUCUCUUUCCUCUCUGCCCAAUCAGAAAGAUGUCUCUCUCUCUCUCUUUCUCUCUGUGUCAUCUUCUCCUUCUCUCUCUCCCUCGCCCGUGACUCUCUCCCCUCUGCAACACACACACACACACACCAUCAUCAAAACUUGCAGAUUAAACCCAAAAACACCACCAUCACACUCAUCUCGAACACGAACUCAUCCGUACCAACCGAUCAUGAAAUGAUCGAGAUUUGAACCUCCAACUUAGAGCAACCCAGAGCUCCGACUUGGGUGGAGUUUUCCCCGACGAGAUUUCGUUCGAUUCACACGAUUUUGGGAGUCUUGGAAGCUUCUAGGUGACUCCCCAAGGCCAUUAGCCUAGUUUUGAAGUGGAGCCAACGAGGAGACCCUCGGGUUUGAGACAAUGAAAGUAAGGCCGAGAGUGUCAAGUGGAUUUUGAUCCAUUUCCGUCCACGUUUUGGACUUUUAAGAGGUAAAAUCUUAUUAUCCUCUUCCUGGGCUUCAAAUCCAUACAAAGUUUGUUAAAAAUGGUUAAAAAUGAAGAAGUAUGGCGUUUUGAAAAUGUUCCAGAAACUGGCGAGCUUUCCCUAGUUUUCGACGAACUAGACAACGGUGGAUGGCAAAAGAAGACCGAAGAAGAAGGGGAAUAUUUUGUUAUUCGACGAACUAGACGGCGGUGGAUGGCAGAAGAAGACCGAAG